AUUCGAUCUUUAUUUGGCUUUUUGAAUUUUUGUAUUCGAGCAUCACUGACGAGUCUGUUGUAGACGGAAACGGUCGUUUAACUUACAAGAUAUUUAGCCUGGUAUCUAUGACAAGUUUAUUUAUAUUUACACAUCAUGUUGUUUGUCAAAAAAAUCAUUAUUUACGAAAUACUAAAACACAAGGCUGAGAAAAACUACAAAUAUCCAUAGAAAUGAUAUACAUAUUGUACAUACUCUUAGCAUCAGGUUUUAUGGCUAGCCAAAAUAGUUAUCUUUUGUUUUGAUUCACUAGGUAAUUGUAAGAUAUUAUUUACAAACAAGUCAGUGCAUUUAUCCAAGAUAUACAUGUAGAUACAUUUUUAUGACGGAUUCCUU
rnacentral:lncRNA from 1 species